GGUAAGUUUUGGUUGAAUGUCUAGCCUUGUCAUUUAAUUAGCGCACUGUAGAAUUAGAGAAUUUUGGAGUUCUUUUCCAACCAAUGAUUUUCUGUAAUCUAGACUUGGCAUUUAUACUUGGUUAGUUAUGUAACCGGUUAUUAAUCGAAAAUAACCCAAUUAAGGAUAAAACUGUAAAUGACUAGGAUUAUUAAAAUAUAAAUUAAAAGGACAGAAGGGGAGAAAAGAAAACAGACGAGUGAAACAGAAAGUGAAGAAGGGAAAACGGAAGGAGGAGGGGGAAGAAGGAGGACGGCUAGGAGGGGGAGCAUCGUGGCUGGGAUCUGUAAGGAGGCACCGGUGUCGUGGUGUGGGAGGUGUGAAACUCGACAAGCAGCGGAAGAGGUAUGUAAAGUGUGAGUUAAGAUGGGGAUGAUGGGAAAUGAGAAGAAGAGAAGAUGAGGGAAGGGAAGAUGGACGAGUUCAAUCGGAAUGGAUCCGAUCUGGACGAACUCGUCCAUCCUCAAUCCUACCUUCACAUAAACGGGGAUCCUAUGUGUGGAUUCUGAUCUACGUGUUACAUUUAAAUGAUGUUGAAAUGAUUUCUGUUAGAUUUAAAUGAUUACUAAAAUGAUCUACGUGUUGUCUUUAAAUGUUUACUUGCAUAUAAACAAAUCACAGAACUACUAUAUUAAAUUGCUGCCAGCAUGUUAUAUGGUUACUCUAAAGGGGGGAAUGAAGUCUGAUUGAUUUGGGUGAAGGAUGAAUGAGAUUGGAUAUAUUGGGAGAGAAAUCAUACUAUUUUAAUUUAUUGCUGGUUGAUUUGGACAUACGUGUUGGCAAUAUUUGUUGUUACAGAAAUGUGGGGAGGGGGAAACGGAUGGCAAUAUUUUGCUAGCGUUUACUAAUAUUUUAAGUCGUUAAUCAUGUGUUGGAUCUUGAUGUAAUAACCAGAUUUAAUCCUGGUGAUAACGGAUGAUGUUAUCAUGAUGUUGUCAUGAUGUAAUCACGAAUGAUGUGUAGAUCUUUAAUCAUGGACCAACAGAUCAGAUCUGAAAUGAUCAGAUUCAUCCCGAUCCAGAUUCCCCUAUUAUUAAAUGUAAAAUAAGUUACUAAUAUGCUAGUGAGUUAUUAUACAGUUUAUAUGUUAAUGUAGUUACUGUUUACUGUUUUAAUUCUCAUCAAACGAUUAACAUAGAUUUCUCUCGAAGGAAAGUUCACAUUAUGAAGUACUACAACUACUUUGUGUUCGGGGACCUAACACAAUCCUUAUUACAACAAAAAAAUAAAAAAUGACACGACUACUUCGCGUCACCCCCUACGCCGACACCUCGACGAGUCAUUUGUCUCCUACCCCUCCAAUUAGGCAAGGUUGCCUCCAUUCCCUGCACAGGUCAUGUCUCCGUGAGUGACUACAUCACUCAGCAUGUAAAGUAUAAGUUCCAACAAUUAAUAACAAUAGCAAUUAACAUAAUACAUGUAUAUAUAAUAUUCAAUCUGAUGAUACCAAUCAAUCAUCAUUCAUGCUCCUAAUGGGUCAUCACUCGUUAUUCGUCAUUCAUUAGGCGUCACAACACCCAGGUCAUAUCUCAUUCAUACAUGCAUUACUAUUCCUACCCCCAUGUCCAUUCAUAUGAGGUUUUCCUGAUCCCAUCAUCAUUCUAAAAUCAGCAACUGAUAAUAGUAAAAUCUCAUGAAAACACCCUUUAUAAUCCCCAAAACAUGCGAUCCUUCCCCCUAGCAUUUUUGUCAUAACGAAAACAGCCACCUAAAUGUUAUAAAACAUGCCACAUAAUGAGUAUCUUAUAUGAUGAUCUUAAACAGAAAUUAAUUACUUAAAUCAGUUCAAGUAUCGUAGGUUAUCCUGCAAUAAAUAUCACUCACUUUAACAAGUCAUCAAGCAAUACCCUCCAAAAUCAAUGUGAUGAUAUCUAUUUCAGCACUGAGAAUCAUUAAAUUUAUACAAGAAAAUCAAGGAGAAAAUCCUUAGAUCUAACAUCAUACACCUAGGGACCAUAGGCUCUACAUAAAAACGGAUGGGUUAAUAUUAUACUAAUCUGAAAGCAAUUCGAUUUUAUAUAUAGAAGUCCCAAAACAGUAACUACAUUAACAUAUAAACUGUAUAAUAACUCACUAGCAUAUUAGUAACUUAUUUUACAUUUAAUAAUAGGGGAAUCUGGAUCGGGAUGAAUCUGAUCAUUUCAGAUCAGAUCUGUUGGUCCAUGAUUAAAGAUCUAUACAUCAUUCGUGAUUACAUCAUGAUAACAUCAUCCGUUAUCACCAGGAUUAAAUCUGGUUAUUACAUCAAGAUACAACACAUGAUUAACGACUUAAAAUAUUAGUAAACGCUAGCAAAAUAUUGCCAUCCGUUUCCCCCUCCCCACAUUUUUGUAACAGCAAAUAUUGCCAACACGUAUGUCCAAAUCAACCAACAAUAAAUUAAAAUAGUAUGAUUUCUCUCCCAAUAUAUCCAAUCUCAUUCAUCCUUCACCCAAAUCAAUCAGACUUCAUUCCCCCUUUUAGAGUAACCAUAUAACAUGCAGGUAGCAAUUUAAUAUAGUAGUUCUGUGAUUUGUUUAUGUGCAAGUAAAUAUUUAAAGACAACACGUACAUCAUUUUAGUAAUCAUUUAAAUCUAACAGAAAUCAUUUCAGCAUCAUUUAAAUGUAACACGUAGAUGAGGAAUCCACACAUAGGAUCCCCGUUUAUGUGAAGGUAAGAUUGAGGAUGGACGAGUUCGUCCAGAUCGGAUCUAUUCCGGUUGAACUCGUCCAUCUUCCCUUCCCUCAUCUUCUCCUCUUCUCAUUUCCAUUUUCCAUCAUCUCCAUCUUAACUCACACUUUACAUACCUCUUCCACUGUUUGUCGAGUUUCACACCUCCCACACCAUGACACCGGUGCCCCCUUACAGAUCCCAGCCACGAUGCUCCUCCUCCUAGCCGUCCUCCUUCCCCCUCCUCCUUCCGUUUUCCCCUCUUCACUUUCUGUUUCACUCGUCUGUUUCUAUCCUUUUAAUUUAUAUUUUAAUAAUCCUAGUCAUUUACAAUUUUACCCUUAAUUGGGUUAUUUCCAAUUAAUAACCGGUUACUUGUCAUUACAUGUCAGGGAUCAAGGAGACGGUCACCGAGGUAGAAGAAAUAUCCUUCUCUACGGAAGAACCAAGAUCGCAAAGAAAUAACAAAUCAGAAAAAAAAAUCACAAAUGCAAAACUUAAUAUUGCAAAUCUCAGCAAUAAAUUGCAGCCAAGUCCAGCAAUUCUCAGUAGAUUCUAGCAAUUUCUGAAGACAGCAGAUUCCAUCAAUAAAUCGCUCACGAUUUCUGAAGCAGAUGUUGACGAUUUGUAAAAGUCACGAUUUAUGAUAAAAAACGCGUUCGCAAUUUAGCAGCGGACGAUCACAGACGAGGAACGAUCACAAACGAUGCGGCAGUGGCCAAAUGCGAUAGUGACCAGAUAGAACAUCGAUUAGUCCAACGUUCAAGAAAGGGGGGGGAUAAUGAAAUCAAUAUGAGUCAAACGAGAAAUUGUUCAAUAACAAAACGUUAAAAUCGAAAACCAAUUUCAUUAAAAUCAAAACAAGUAUUUAAGGAAAUACAAAUAUAACAAAUACAAAUGUAAAAUUAAAAACUAAAACGAUUUCAAUAAG
rnacentral:lncRNA from 1 species